AACGAACGCUGGCGGCAGGCCUAACACAUGCAAGUCGAGCGAGCAUUUCGGUGCUAGCGGCGGACGGGUGAGUAACGCGUGGGAACGUGCCCUUUUCUGCGGAAUAGUCCUGGGAAACUGGGGGUAAUACCGCAUACGCCCUUUUGGGGAAAGAUUUAUCGGAGAAGGAUCGGCCCGCGUUGGAUUAGGUAGUUGGUGGGGUAAUGGCCCACCAAGCCGACGAUCCAUAGCUGGUUUGAGAGGAUGAUCAACCACACUGGGACUGAGACACGGCCCAGACUCCUACGGGAGGCAGCAGUGGGGAAUCUUAGACAAUGGGGGCAACCCUGAUCUAGCCAUGCCGCGUGAGUGAUGAAGGCCCUAGGGUUGUAAAGCUCUUUCAGCUGGGAAGAUAAUGACGGUACCAGCAGAAGAAGCCCCGGCUAACUCCGUG
rnacentral:rRNA from 1 species